CAGGUGACUGUGUCUCCAGCUAUCUUACCAACAACUGCAGUAAUCCACCGUUCAUUUCGUAAACGUGUCGCCUGAUUAAGAAACCAUUACAUCUAUAGUACCAAACCUAAUAUCUUUUCAAAUCUGUGAUGAAUCAAUUUGCUUAAAAAUUCAAAUUGCCGCCUCUCACAAACUUGCACGCGAAUGAAUCGAACAAUGGAGCUUCGAAAAGACUAUGGUGAUCUAGGUAUUCAACAACCACCAUCCAGUACAAUGUUUUUAGCCACGAUUUAUCCAUGAUGGAGAACAAAGAACCCAAGCUUCCAUAUACUAUUGAAGAUUUGAUGCUUGAGGAAGACGAGCAUGUUACAGUUAAGGAGGAUGUGUUUGUCUGAAGAUUUCAUUCUGCCACAAGCCUAGAUUGAAAUUUUGGCGCUGGAAAAUAUCAUGAGAAAGCACUGUGGAGAGUUGAUAUAUUUUUUAUGAAAUAAAACAAUGUGGAAAAUGAUCUGGACUUUAAGGAUGCACUAAAGCAACAGAUUUUACUUUCCUAGACAUCAGCGGUCGGCAUAUAAGGUUAUAUUCAACAGUGCUUUUGGCAACAAAGUAAAAGGCUGGUGUUACUUCCAGGUUAUAGAUAUCGUAUCUGUGAUAAGAUAAUAUAAAAUUUUUAAGUUUUCUUUUCUGACCCAAAUGUGUGAUAUUAUGUUAAAGUAUUUAGUCCUUGAUAUCCUAACACUAUAAUUUCGAAGUUAUUGCAUUUAAUAAGCUCCUAGAUCAGAGUUGGUUGGUUGUCUAUAGUUUUAUAAAAUGCUCUCUGCUGGCCUAUCAAUGUUGUAUUGGCCACUUGCAUUUCUGAAAUAAAAAAUAAAAAAAACAAUAUUAUAUACGGCAACACGUAUGACAUAGAGGCGUGCAUAUUUGUUUAUUGGAAUUCCAAUUUCCAACUUCAGUUGAUUAUACUUCAUUUUACAUUAUUUUCUUGACAUAUUUCGUGUUUAUGUUCUGAUAUAAUGAUCUCAUCUUCUGAUGUGGAUUGUUCUUUUUGUUUUAUGUUCAGUUUUGAUGCAGUAGAUCGAAUAUCCAAGAAUAUGAAAUUUAUCACUUCUCUUCACUUCUGAUUGUUUACUAAUUUUGACUAAUGUGAAACAUAAGCGGAAAUGCAAUAUUUUACUGAUAUGAUUGUCAACAUGAUGAAUUUGAACAUGUUAUUUGGACCCUAGGGUGGACCGAUUAUCAUGUCUCAGGUCCUAAAACUUUUUUUUAAUAAAUUGAAUCACGAGUUUAAUAUUUUGUUAACUUGCAAUUAGUAAAAGAGAUUGACCUUUUUUUCGAUUUGAUGAUUAUGUUGUGCAGAUUGAGGAUGAAUAUGGUCCGAUAGAAUGGAAAAUAGGUACUCCAGGAAAAUCUUAUACAAAAUGGUUCUCAAGCAUGGUUGUAGGCCUUAAAACUGGUGUCCCAUGGAUGAUGUGCAAGUAAGACGAUGUACCUAAUCCAAUUGUAAGUGAUUUUCAAUAAGUUUUCAUAUAUGUUCAGAUUUCUAUGGCGAAGAGCCGAAGAUACAUGCAACUUAUAGAAAGCAAGUCUAUGACCCAAGAGCGGGGAAAGGAACCUGUUCAACAACAUAAUGUAGAAGAUAAAAGGAAAAUUAUUUUGAAAGUUAAAAAUACCAACAAGAAAGAGGCUGCUUUAAGAGGUUUGUAUGUGCCCUUAUUUUUUAAACCGAACAAAGUACGAGUAUAUGGAAGAAAUGAUGUUUCCCAUCAGAAUACAACUCCAAGCAAUGAUCCAAACCAUAAAAGAAAACAUCACAGUGGAAAGAAUGAACUUGCUUUAAUCCGAAAACCUCAAAUUUAAACCCAAAAGAAGGGUUAUACAAGGAAAAGCUGUAGCUCCUUAUCAAAGUCUAAUAAAGAUGAUUGAUUUGAACAAGCGGGAAGAAGCAUUUAAUGCAAAUGGUGUAGCUGUGACUAUGCAUACCCCAGCUUCUGUUCUUGAUUUAACUGAAACUGAUGUUAAACAACCCACAGACCAAACUUAAGCUCCUGUUUUUGACUUGAACCAGAGAUUGGUAAGUUAUCAGGUUAUAUUUUGCAUGACAAAAUAAGUUAUUGUAUUGUUGUACAUGGUGGCAAACUGGAAUAGUUGCAUUCUGUUAUUCUUUUGUUUGAAAUUUGGCAGGUAGAAGAAGAGGAAUACAGGGUAAUUGUGAGAUGGCAAGGCAAGACAAGCUAUCUGAGUUGAAGUUAUCUCUAUGUAGAAAUGUUGGACACGGUUCCUAUCGUGCGGUAAAGAGAAAGAUCUCAUAGCAAGAUCCAGUUGCUUUGAGGGUGUGAUUAGCUGUAGUCAAUAUUUAUUAGUCAGUUAAUGUAGGAAGAGAGGAAGCUUAUAGAAGAUUGAAGUACAUAAGAUAAAUAUAUCUUAACAGUUGUGUUAUGUCAUUGUUCAAGCAGUUGCGGUAUGUCAUUGUUAAAACAGACUCUACUAUUAUGUUGGUUUACGUUAAUGUACAAGUGUUGUUUUGAUA